UGAGUCGGCCGGGUGAUCGCGGCGAAAGCUGAGGAAAGUCCGGGCUCCACAGGGCAAGGUGGUGGGUAACGCCCACCCGGGGUGACCCGCGGGAUAGCGCAACAGAAAGUAGACCGCCUAGUUUGGCCUUAGCGCCACACGGGUAAGGGUGAAAGGGUGGUGUAAGAGACCACCGCGACGUCGGCGACGGCGUUGGCAUGGCAAGCCCCACCUGGAGUAAGACCAAGAAAGACGCACUGCGUCUGCGACGGCUUAAGCUGCCCGCCUAGCCGUCGGGUAGGUUGCACGCCGGCGGCGCAAGUCGCCGGGGAAGGCUGCCGGUAACGGCAGUCGCAGAUGGAUGAUCACCGAUUACAGAACCCGGCUUAUAGGCCGGCUCGUCCC
rfam:Propionimicrobium lymphophilum ACS-093-V-SCH5 genomic scaffold aczIt-supercont-complete, whole genome shotgun sequence.